UUUUUGCUUAAUAUUAACACUACAUCAAUGUAUGUACUAUAAUUAGUAUUUUUAGUUGUAUGUUUUUGUUGUUUUUUUUUUUUUUAAUUUUAAAUUUUUUUUGGGUUUUUUGUUUCUUCUUCUUCUCCUCCUGCCGUUACUCUCUCUAUGUAUGUUGUUUGGGUAAUGGGUCGGCCUAUGGAAAGAAACAGGAGAACCAAUAUCGUACACCGGACACGUAUGCCGAGGCUAUACUCUA